rnacentral:rRNA from 1 species
AGUGAACGCUGGCGGUAGGCCUAACACAUGCAAGUCGAACGGCAGCACAGUAAGAGCUUGCUCUUACGGGUGGCGAGUGGCGGACGGGUGAGGCAUACAUCGGAAUCUACUUUUUCGUGGGGGAUAACGUAGGGAAACUUACGCUAAUACCGCAUACGACCUACGGGUGAAAGCAGUGGAUCUUCGGACCUUUGGCGAUUGAAUUAGCCGAUGUCGGAUUAGCUAGUUGGCGGGGUAAAGGCCCACCAAGGCGACGAUCCGUAGCUGGUCUGAGAGGAUGAUCAGCCACACUGGAACUGAGACACGGUCCAGACUCCUACGGGAGGCAGCAGUGGGGAAUAUUGGACAAUGGGCGCAAGCCUGAUCCAGCCAUACCGCGUGGGUGAAGAAGGCCUUCGGGUUGUAAAGCCCUUUUGUUGGGAAAGAAAAGCAGCAGGUUAAUACCCCGAUGUUCUGACGGUACCCAAAGAAUAAGCACCGGCUAACUUCGUG